rnacentral:rRNA from 1 species
UACGGGGGGGGCGAGCGUUAUUCGGAAUUAUUGGGCGUAAAGGGCGUGUAGGCGGCCUAGCAUGUCCUCUGUGAAAGCCCUCGGCUCAACCGAGGAACUGCAGGGGAAACUGCAAGGCUUGAGUCCGGGAGAGGAGAGCGGAAUUCCCAGUGUAGCGGUGAAAUGCGUAGAUAUUGGGAGGAACACCAGUGGCGAAGGCGGCUCUCUGGACCGGUACUGACGCUAAAGCGCGAAAGCUAGGGGAGCAAACGGG